UACGUAGGGUGCAAGCGUUGUCCGGAAUUAUUGGGCGUAAAGAGCUCGUAGGUGGUCUGUUACGUCUGCUGUGAAAUCCUAGGGCUUAACCCUGGGCCUGCAGUGGAUACGGGCAGACUAGAGGUAGGUAGGGGAGAAUGGAAUUCCCGGUGUAGCGGUGAAAUGCGCAGAUAUCAGGAGGAACACCGGUGGCGAAGGCGGGACUCUGGGCCGAUACUGACGCUGAGGAGCGAAAGCGUGGGGAGCGAACAGG
rnacentral:rRNA from 1 species